UCCUACGGGAGGCAGCAGUAGGGAAUCUUGCGCAAUGGGCGAAAGCCUGACGCAGCAAUGCCGCGUGCGGGACGAAGGCCCUAGGGUCGUAAACCGCUUUCAGUAGGGACGAAAAUGACGGUACCUGCAGAAGAAGCUCCGGCCAACUACGUGCCAGCAGCCGCGGUGAUACGUAGGGAGCAAGCGUUGUCCGGAAUUACUGGGCGUAAAGGGCUCGUAGGUGGUUGAGUAAGCCAGAUGUGAAAUCUCAGGGCCCCAACCCUGAGCCUGCAUUUGAUACUGCUCUGACUAGAGUCCGGUAGGGGAGUGCGGAACUCCUGGUGUAGCGGUGAAAUGCGCAGAUAUCAGGAAGAACACCGACAGCGAAGGCAGCACUCUGGGCCGGUACUGACACUGAGGAGCGAAAGCAUGGGUAGCAAACAGGAUUAGAUACCCUGGUAGUCCAUGCCGUAAACGUUGGGCACUAGGUGUGGGGAGAACUCAACUCUCUCCGCGCCGUAGCUAACGCAUUAAGUGCCCCGCCUGGGGAGUACGGCCGCAAGGCUAAAACUCAAAGGAAUUGACGG
rnacentral:rRNA from 1 species